GCUUAUAUAACCCGUAGCGCUAGCAGCGCAGAAAGGAGAGCCAUCCUGACGACUGGUACGAGCAACAACUAUGCUGCGAGCGGCGGACGGGUUCUUUCGGCAGUCGCCAGAUUACGGCAGUGGUCUACAGCAGGGAACUACGAUAGGAAUACCAGCUCUCUCGACUGCCGUGGUCCAACGGCACAGGACCUGUAACAGCAGAUGACUUCAUUCUGUACGCCACUAUCUGAACAGCUCAGCACCUCCUCAGUCCUCGAACAGCCUGCUGCGCCCGAACUUGACUGGAUAUCGACGGUUUCCAGCCACAGCGACCCCUCCAGUUCAAGACUUCCUAACCGACUUCGACGCUUGCCAAACGGCCGUACGAAUCACCGGCGAAGUCUUCCUGCGAAGAGUACAGCCAGCAGCUAGCUCGUGGCUGUCCUUCCGAUGACAUCUUGCACAGCCCCGUUUGAAAAGGUGGGAGGGGGCGUGGCGACAGCGAGUUGUUAUCGCUGAUAGCCCCCUUACACGUGCAGUAUCCCUCUCUAUUGAGAGGGAACCUGAAGCCGUAAUUUAAGCCGUAAAGCGCGGAAAAGAAAUGCAUCUUGACGGCUGUUGCGGACAGAUUACGACGCAGUGGUCUUCUGCGGGGAACGGCGGUGUAUGCGAAUAAACAUACUGUUGGUUAACCUGA